UGGCCUACGGGGCGCAGCAGUGAGGAAUAUUGGUCAAUGGACGCAAGUCUGAACCAGCCAUGCCGCGUGCAGGAAGACGGCUCUAUGAGUUGUAAACUGCUUUUGUACGAGGGUAAACGCAGAUACGUGUAUCUGUCUGAAAGUAUCGUACGAAUAAGGAUCGGCUAACUCCGUGCCAGCAGCCGCGGUAAUACGGAGGAUUCAAGCGUUAUCCGGAUUUAUUGGGUUUAAAGGGUGCGUAGGUUGUUUUAUAAGUUAGCGGUGAAAUACCGAUGCUCAACAUCGGGGCUGCCGCUAAUACUGUA
rnacentral:rRNA from 1 species